GCAGUCUGGUGCCAGCAGCCGCGGUAAUUCCAGCUCCAAUAGCGUAUAUUAAAGUUGUUGCAGUUAAAACGUCCGUAGUCAAACUUUAGUCUUACCGGCGUAGUGGCCUGGUCUUCAUUGACCAAGCUCAUUGCUGCCGGAGACUCCACGUCCAUUGACUCCUAGUCCUCGUGGCUAGGGUUUUCUGGACAAUUACCAUGAGCAAAUCAGAGUGUUUAAAGCAGGCUUUUAAGCUUGAAUGUGUUAGCAUGGAAUAAUGAAAUAUGACUUUAGUCCUAUUUUCGUUGGUUUAGGUACUUCAGUAAUGAUGAAUAGAAACGGUUAGGGGCAUUUGUAUUUGGUCGCUAGAGGUGAAAUUCUUGGAUUGACCGAAGACAAACUACUGCGAAAGCAUUUGCCAA
rnacentral:rRNA from 1 species